rnacentral:rRNA from 1 species
UACGUAGGGGGCAAGCGUUGUCCGGAAUCAUUGGGCGUAAAGCGCGCGUAGGCGGCCCUGUAAGUCCGCUGUGAAAGUCAAGGGCUCAACCCCGGGAGGCGGAUGGAUACUGUCAGGUUCGAGUUCGGAAGAGGCGAGUGGAAUUCCCGGUGUAGCGGUGAAAUGCGCAGAUAUCGGGAGGAACACCAAUGGCGAAGGCAGCUCGCUGGGACGUUACUGACGCUGAGACGCGAAAGCGUGGGGAGCAAACAGG